UAUGGUAUAACUUAGUGGCAGACGGGUGAGUAAUGUAUAGGAAUCUACCUAGUAGUACGGAAUAAUUGUUGGGAACGGCAACUAAUACCGUAUACGCCCUACGGGGGAAAAAUUUAUUGCUAUUAGAUGAGCCUAUAUUAGAUUAGCUAGUUGGUGGAGUAAUAGCCUACCAAGGCAAUGAUCUAUAGCUGAUCUGAGAGGAUGAUCAGCCAUACUGGAACUGAGAUACGGUCCAGACUCCUACGGGAGGCAGCAGUGGGGAAUAUUGGACAAUGGGCGAAAGCCUGAUCCAGCCAUGCCGCAUGAGUGAAGAAGGCCUUUGGGUUGUAAAGCUCUUUUAGUGAGGAAGAUAAUGACGGUACUCACAGAAGAAGUCCUGGCUAACUCCGUGCCAGCAGCCGCGGUAAUACGGAGAGGGCUAGCGUUAUUCGGAAUUAUUGGGCGUAAAGGGCGCGUAGGCUGGUUAGUAAGUUAAAAGUGAAAUCCCGAGGCUUAACCUUGGAAUUGCUUUUAAAACUGCUAACCUAGAGAUUGAAAGAGGAUAGAGGAAUUCCUAGUGUAGAGGUGAAAUUCGUAAAUAUUAGGAGGAACACCAGUGGCGAAGGCGUCUAUCUGGUUCAAAUCUGACGCUGAGGCGCGAAGGCGUGGGGAGCAAACAGGAUUAGAUACCCUGGUAGUCCACGCUGUAAACGAUGAAUGUUAAAUAUGGGGAGUUUACUUUCUGUAUUACAGCUAACGCGUUAAACAUUCCGCCUGGGGACUACGGUCGCAAGAUUAAAACUCAAAGGAAUUGACGGGGACCCGCACAAGCGGUGGAGCAUGUGGUUUAAUUCGAUGCAACGCGAAAAACCUUACCACUCCUUGACA
rnacentral:rRNA from 1 species